AUGGAUUAUAUUCAUACUACUACUUGGUCAGCGAGGGGCUCGGUGUGGGAAUGGUGGAAUGAAAACGUAUAUCUUCGUUCCGAAUCCUCCAAGGCGCUUGCCUCACACAUAAUUCUAAUCUCCUGGGAAAUUUGGAUGGAGCGCAAUACUAGAGUUUUCUGCAACACGGCCGCACCAACGAUGAUCGUCAUUAGUAAAAUAAAAGGGGAGUUGUCGCUUUGGGAGUUGGCGGGCGCCAAGCAUUUGAAUACUGUAAUGCCGCGAGAGUAG
rnacentral:rRNA from 1 species